CCCCAUCGUUCAAACCCUCCCUCCCCGGCCUUUUCCCGGCUAGGGUUUCUGACCGCCCUUCCGUCUCCCGUCGCCAUGGAGAGUUCCUCCUGAUCUUUCGAUUCGAUCUGUUGACCCAUGAUUUAUUGUUUUCCCUUCUGAUUCGUGUCUUUGAUUGGUGAAACUCCGUGAAUAGCCCACAAGCGAUCGAAUUUUACCCCAGAGGUUUUGGGUCUUGAAGGAAGAAUGUUUGCCAGGAAUCGUUGUGCGGAGAAGGUGCUGAUGACGAAGAUGUAAGCAUCCUUUGCAUCGUCCUUGAAGUUUGAUUUCCUAAACUUGUGUUAGCAAUGUAGGUAUGUUUGUGCUGUUUCUUUUAUGGUUUUUAGUUCAAGUCAUUGAGCCCUCAUAUUCGCUUUACUAAGCCCAAUGUAUGAGGGAGGGGAAUUGAAUACUGAGAUACAACUGAAUAAAAGAGCUUCCUUUAUGAGCAGUUAUGUUGCUUGACAUACGCCAAUCAAGAAUGUUAAAUUACUAUCUGCAGCUAAUAGACAAAUCAAGCAACCAACUUUUUAUAGCAUUGUGAUCCUGAGCAGGUAUUUUUACCAUAUUACAAAAAUGUGACCAUGUUUGGCGUUGCUGAUUACCAUCUUUGUAUAUUUAUACAUUAAUUGUGUCCAGAGACAUGUCGGAUUUGUAGGACAAAAAUGGAGAAUUUGCUUAUUCAGGAUUGUUGAUUUAACGGACGACUAGCUUAAUCGAAGCAAAAUUGAACAAUUUCUUUCUGUUUGGUCCUUCCCAGUCUCGCUAUUCAUGAUGAAUCAUCAAGUAGGUGUAAUUGUUCCUCUGGAGGCUAAUAGACGAAUUAAGUAGCCAACUUUUUUCUAGCAUUGUGAUCCUGAACAGGUCAUUCUAUCAUUUUAAAAUGGGUUCAUGUUUGCCAUUGCUGAUAACUGUCAUUGUAUUUGUAGACAUGUUAUUGUAUCCAGAAGCAUGUUGGAUUCAUAGGACAGUGUUAGUGUAAACAACUUUGUGCCGUGGCCUUGGGGCCGACGCGGCUUGUGUCGGGUUCGAAUGGCAGGGAUCUCGUCGUCACUGAAGUGGCGGGCGUCGCAGAUCAGACCGUGUCGAGCUUGAUCGGGGUGUUCCGUAGAGGAGGCCUCCUUUGCUUUGCCUCCCGAGGGCGCUAACCUCGUCUUCUCAUCUGCACACAAGUCGGGUCGAGGGGCUCAGCCCGACCCCUUUGACGAUCAAGGAGCGGGUUGCGUCUGACACUGGUGUUGGCGUGGCGUGAAUGAUCGAGUCUGAACAGAUCGUUAAUGGGUCUCAGUCUACGUUCUGUUUCGUUUGACCAGGUUCCAUCGGGUAGGUUGAGGUGUGAGACGUCGUCUGGGACAGCUGACGUCUGCGCAGGUCUUGUCACCAUUUAUUACCCUCAUCAGACAGUAAUGGCUUGCUGUCCAUGAUGAAUCAUCAAAUCUCCAUUAGGUGGUCGACAAGGUUCAUGAUGAAGCUACUCCUGCAUCUUUUAGAUUGGGAUACGACAACAUGGAAAAAGGUUUCUUAUCCUUUUAAAAUAUGCCCAAUUGAAAGGUCCCCUUACCAAUGGUGAGCUUGCUUUUAAAAUAUGCCCAACACAUGAUUUUAGUUUCACUUUAGAAAAUAGCCCCUAGGCCUAUCUAAGAUCUCUCUAGAUCAGUCAAAUGAUUUCUCAACAUCCUCUCUUUGACGUUGAAUGUGUGCCUGCAAUUGUGCAUGCAUCCAUCAUGUGGUAGACUUAAGAGCCUCACCUUUAAGUACAGUCAUGGCCAAUUAGCCAUUCUUUUGAUUGUCCUUGUAUCAUCAUGGAGAGAAUAGUCUUCUUUUUUUAUACAGAAAUAGAUCAUUUUUCGUGGGACAGUGUACACAGUGAUUAAAGUUGCCCUUUCAUUUGCUUCUGAAUCUUAUUAUAAAAU